AUGUUUCUGAGCUUCUUUCUCAACCAGAUUCUUAAAGCAUUUGAAUGUCUCAAAUGUUUCACCUUUUUCCACAAGAAAAUAAAUCCAAGUUUUGCGAGAGUAGUCAUCUACAAACACAAGCAAAUAUCUUUUACCACUAUGAGAGAUUGGAGUGAUUGGGCCACACAGAUCUGCAUGCACCAGAAUUCAAGUUUUUCUGAUGCUCUCCAAUUACUUUUCUUUGGUAUUUUGUCUCGGUGUUGCUUUCCAAUAUUACACACUUCACAAAUCUCUGCAGUUUCCUUGAACUUUGGUAGACCCUUUACCAUUUGCUUCUUUUGCACAACAACAAUAAAAUUAUGA